CGAUUGGCAAUUCAGGUUUUUC
rnacentral:siRNA from 1 species